rnacentral:ribozyme from 1 species
GCCUGUGUCUUGCAACCGCCGUCGUCACUUAUUGAAGCACUCGUGGCAGCAUAUACCGAUGGAGCAAAGUGUAAAG